AUGCUCUGCCCACAAGAACAUUUAAUUUACGCUUCUUGGUUAAAGUCAUUCCAUGGCAGGUCCUUGCUGCCACUCCUUCCUCCUCAUGCUUCUCCCCUAAUUCAGCCUGGCUCCUUCCACGGGCACUUCAGGAUAAACCUGCCCUGCGUGGGCUCUCCGUGGGCUGCAGGGGAAGGGAUGCUCCAGUGCCUGCAGCGCCUCUCUCCACCUUCUUCUCUGACCUUGGUGUUCACAGGACUUUUUCCAUACUUGUCCCCCCUUGCUCCUCACUGCCUGCGCAGCAUUCUGCCCUUUAUUAUGCCCUCACAAAGAGGAAAAGCACUCAAGUGCUGAACCGUGCAUACAUUUACACCUUGCCAGGCACAGGUCAUUAGCAGAUGUCCUUAUAGAGAAGGCCCUGACCAGUUUGCUCCUUCCCCUCCCGAUGCAGCGUGGGGUCAGUGACAUCAGACAGCUCCCACUGAGCAGUUGCAGCGCCCAGGGACCACUGGGGCAUUUACAGCUGCAGUUGUUCUGGCAGCUGUCGCUCAUCCUUGGGAUCUGCUCCACAGCGGGCUGAGGCUCCCAGCAAAAAGGAACCCAAAUGAUAUUUUACUGGAAAAAGGCAGGAUAAAACCCAUGUGCUGACUGGGGGGGGUUAAUGCCUGAUGCCUCCUCCUCCAAAUGUGGAAGAUGACAGCAGGAAAAAAACGGUGGUGAAAACUGGACCUGUCCUAAUGCUGGUGGCAAGACAGCCGAGCUGCCCACGUCUGCACACCAAAGGGAAAGAACAUCUCAGGGUGAGAGGGCAGCUGUGCCUAAGCACAGGCAAAAUCUUCAGUCUCUUCUGAAAUUAGUGAUGCUGAUAUAUCCAGUAAGCAGAAUGGUUGCCUCAGUGUCACUGGAGAACAACUAACAAAGCCUUCAGAAGUUCGUACCUCAAUUUUAAAGCUGAGGCUAUUUUAGCUAAUGCCCCCAAGGCGAUUGUCUGGUCAAAUGUCAGUGUUUAUAUUGCUGAAGUAAAUCUCUAUGAGAUCUUUGCAGUUUGGGAACCAUGUUAGUCUCCAGCAUGAACUUCUCAGAUUAUACUGGGUUGUGGAUAUGUUUUUUUUUCCUCCCUCUGCUUGGAACAUAUCUCAAUCUCCCCAUACUCCUGCAAACUAUUGAAAAACUUUGUGUUGUGUCUCAACAACAGUUCCAUUGCUGUGGGAUUUUCCCCCACUAAUUCAUUUAUUCUAGAACAGUAUUUUCAUUGAUGCUGCUUCUGUAUGCUUUCAAUCUUGCAAAUUGGUAAUGUAUUGUUUUAUUUUUAAGGAAAACAUUGCCUGGAAUUUGGUCUCUUACAACUAAUGCCAAACUUCACACUUCAUUUUUAACUCUUUGACCUCCAGGAUUCCUUUUCCUGGUCAUCCCUUUGAGCCUCUUGGUUUUGCUGGUGAUGUUUUUUCUGCCAGUCUCUGCACUGGUUGCUCCUUUGUUUUGGCACAGGACCGCGUGUUACCUGUUGCAGCAGAUUAGCUCUGACAACUGGCUUACAUCUGAGUAACACAUCCCACUGUGCUGAUUGCAUAUUAGUGACCAUUGCGUUUGGAGCCUUACGCAUCAAUUCAUGUGGCUUGAAGGCAUUUUCUUGACUGGCAGACUUUAAAAAGAGCUUUUUCAACCACAACACUAGAGCACUCACUCCUCUGCCAUAUGUGAGUCAUUCUUCCUAGCAGUGGCUUCGUAGUCCUUUUUUUUUUUUUCCUGUCUCUUCUAGUUUGGGACUUCUGUAUUUCUGAGUGUCUAGCUCACAACACCUACAAGGUAGUACCAAAUUUCAUGCACCAUUAAUUCCACUAACAUGCAGAGGCUUGUUAAUUUGAAGAGCUCAAGACAGACACCAAAACUGUGGAAAU
rnacentral:lncRNA from 1 species